GCGGAUUUAAGUGUUGUUUGGCGAAAUAUAUCAAUUGCCAUGCCUGCCAUAAAUAUCAUUUUCCUUUUUAUCAGUGUCAACGUAAAGUAAUUAAACAAAAUGGGAUGAUUCAUAAGUGAUCAGGAAAGACAGAACAUAGAACAGAACAUGAUUUCACUCGACGUAUAUCAACAAGAAUUCAAAGAUUUACUUGGGGUUUUAGCAAUGGACAAUCAAAUGGUCGAGCAACGACACGGGCAAUGUCAACGACGUUGUGAUCUUCUUAAACGAGCAGAGAAGAUCAUAGCCACCGCGAACUUUAGUAUUAUACUUUAUUUAAAAAGGGAAAGCCAUAACCGCACCAGAGGGGAUUGAAGUUGUCCGAAAAUCCAAAGUCCAUCCCACCAAAGUCCAGCUCUCCUAUGAAUGCUGUUGUUAAACAAAAAGGCAUUAUUCACGACAUCUGGCCCUCUUGCACAUUAUAAGGUCUCAUUCCAAGGAAAUAGACGACGAACACAUUUAAUUAUAUAGUAAUAUUAAUGGCUGGAUUAUAUAAGGCGAUCGGUUAAACUACAUACUUAAGAUUAAUCAACCUUCUUGUCUUGAAACAAACACCAAUCUCAUAUUCUUACUACCGCACAAAGUCUGAAAAUGAUUAUUGAAAAAUAAAAUAACCGGUUAAUCAACGGUUUUAUGUCAGUUUAACAGUGCAUUACGCAUUUUCAUUGUCGACUGUAUGCUGUAUAUUAUGAAUUUUGUACGUAAAUUAUUAGAAAUGAGAUUAUUAUUUGAAAUACAAUUAUUUUUUAAAUAGUUAAAAACUAUUAUUCAAUACUUACCAUAAGUUUCCUGAAAUUGAA